UUCUUAUCAAGAGAGGCGGAGGGACUGACCCUAUGAAGUCUCAGCAACCAGCAAAUUUUUGUAUGGUGCUAAUUUCAGAAGAAUACUUAGUAUUCUAGAGAUGAGUA
rfam:Bacilli bacterium VT-13-104 contig040, whole genome shotgun sequence.